rnacentral:pre_miRNA from 1 species
CUACUACUCCCUCCGUUCGAAAUUACUUGUCUCGGAAAUGGAUGUAUCUAGAACUAAAAUAUGUCUAGAUACAUCCAUUUCUGCGACAAGUAAUUCCGAACGAAGGGAGUAUCUA